rnacentral:misc_RNA from 1 species
GAUCUGUGGCUAUAUUCUUCAUGUUGUUAUUGUAGUUUAGAAACCUAAACCAGACUGGCCAGUUAAGCUGCUUAAAUCAGGAACUGGCCAAGUUUCUGGUUGAGGUGUGGUUCAAACCCAGAAAUGGUCAAACCACAGUUCUAGUUGGUUUAGAUAGGUCCAACUGGUUGGGUGGGUUAGUCUUUGAUCUUCAUACGAAAAAGA